AUCGAUCAACCUUUAUUUCAUCCUGAGUGCUGGCCUUUGCAUCUUCAAGGCUGGAGAAAACCCAUGUAGGAUCUUGCACUGGGGCUUUUCUAUAGUAUCUAGUCAUAUAUGCAUGCUGGAUGGAUCAAUCCUCCCGGAAACGUCAUCGGAGCAACCACUGUGUCCACAUCGAAGCAGGACCAGUGGUUCUCAUGGUAGCCUUUGUGUGUGGCAGGGCUGAUGACACCCCAUGUAGCGCCUUGCACUGGGGCCGGUGGAUUGACCCACUUUAACCCUGAGGGCCGGCCUUUGCGUCUGGCAGGGCAAGGAACCUUUAGCUUGAUCGGUGUUCCAAUAAGCGCAAUAUUUCUUGUUACAGCACCAGUGGCUCAUAGUAGUUGGUCUGCAGUCUGCACAGUGGGGGGUGUGCUUGAAUCACACACGUCAUGCAUCCCCCUCAGUGUCUGUAAUCCUCUCCAGGUCAACACAAAAGAUAUCACUGAAAGCUUAUGUGAGAAGAGGAACUUACCACCUUUGCUUGAAAAUUGACUGGCAAUGAGCUGGACACCUAAAUACAGAACAUCCAAUACGAGCAAACCUCAUGAAAACGGGACCAGGGAAACUCCCCAAAGACAUUUUGGUUAAAGUCUGCGGGUUAAAAUUGCCUUAAUAAUAUUGAAAACGGGACCAGGGAAACUCCCCAAAGACAUUUUGGUUAAAGUCUGCGGGUUAAAAUUGCCUUAAUAAUAUUGAAAACGGGACCAGGGAAACUCCCCAAAGACAGUUUGGUUGAAGUCUGCGGGUUAAAAUUGCCUUAAUAAUAUUGCCCAAAAAGGUAUGGUAACAAUUAAAAUAUAUUAAAUUCUUAAUUCAAUAAUUCAAAAAUCUUUUGUGUUACUAACCAUGUUUGUUUUCCCUUUGGCCGGAAAAAGUAAGUAGGAAUAUUAUGUAACAUACCUACAAACUGUAUGCUACGUCUAUUUGUUCAUAAUUAAUUUCUUAUUUGGUCAUUCAAAGAUUAUUUGUCCGUCUUACUUACGAUGAUUUAUUGUUCCCUCUCUUACUCCAUCACCGUGGACAAAAAAGGUGAGUCAGAGCUUCUGAUUUAGAAUCUAUAAUGUAAAGGCAAAGUUAGAAAUAGCUCAAUGUUUUAUGUUAAUCUGUUUAUGCCUUUAGUAUGUUUAUUUUAUAAUUGAAAUAUUGUUUUAUUAACCAUUCUGUCUCAUACUUAACUUUUACAAUACUCCACCACCUGAGCUGCUGCUGUUCACCGUGGACAAAAAAGGUUGGUAUGAGCGUCAAAAUAUAUUAUAAAAUAUAUUAAUCAUUUACUAUCUUUGAUUCACGCUGACCCUGAUUUCCCUAACGCUGACCCAUAUGAUGGUGACGCUUUUAAUGCUGCUUUUGAGUGUAUUAUUGACAGGUACAGGUGUGGGCUACCUGAAGAGGAGGAGGACCCUGAGAUCGAUGUCGUCGGCCUUGAGGACUCCUCCACAAAACGACGCAGGGAAGAGAGCGACGACGAGGAGGAGGCUGCUGCGAAGAGGCCGAGGUGGUCCGAAGAGAGCGACUCGGAUUGACUCUACGAUGGGACGGGCUGACAUUGUGUUCCCUUUGGCCGGAAAAAAUGUUUCCUGGUCAUUCUUCUGCAGGAUUGUGUGAACUGCUCCGACUCAUUUCUCAACUU